AGUGAACGCUGGCGGUAGGCCUAACACAUGCAAGUCGAACGGCAGCACAGUAAGAGCUUGCUCUUACGGGUGGCGAGUGGCGGACGGGUGAGGAAUACAUCGGAAUCUACUUUUUCGUGGGGGAUAACGUAGGGAAACUUACGCUAAUGCCGCAUACGACCUACGGGUGAAAGCAGGGGAUCUUCGGACCUUGCGCGAUUGAAUGAGCCGAUGUCGGAUUAGCUAGUUGGCGGGGUAAAGGCCCACCAAGGCGACGAUCCGUAGCUGGUCUGAGAGGAUGAUCAGCCACACUGGAACCGAGACACGGUCCAGACUCCUACGGGAGGCAGCAGUGGGGAAUAUUGGACAAAGGGCGCAAGCCUGAUCCAGCCAUACCGCGUGGGUGAAGAAGGCCUUCGGGUUGUAAAGCCCUUUUGUUGGGAAAGAAAAGCAGCAGGUUAAUACCCCGCUGUUCUGACGGUACCCAAAGAAUAAGCACCGGCUAACUUCGUG
rnacentral:rRNA from 1 species